rnacentral:rRNA from 1 species
GAAAGCGUAAUAGCUCACUAGUCGAGUCGGCCUGCGCGGAAGAUGUAACGGGGCUAAAACUGGAUACCGAAGCUGCGGCAGCAGACUUGUUCUGCUGGGUAGGGGAGCGUUGUGUAAGCCUGUGAAGGUGUGUUGAGAAGCAUGCUGGAGGUAUCACAAGUGCGAAUGCUGACGUGAGUAACGAUAAUGGGGGUGAAAAACCUCCACGCCGAAAGACCAAGGUUUCCUGCGCAACGCUAAUCGGCGCAGGGUGAGUCGGCCCCUAAGGCGAGGCAGAAAUGCGUAGCUGAUGGGAAACAGGUUAAUAUUCCUGUACUUCUUAUAACUGCGAUGGAGAGACGGAGAAGGCUAUGCCUACCGGGCGUUGGUUGUCCCGGGGAAAGGCUGUAGGCUGAGGUGUUAGGCAAAUCCGGCACCUUAAGGCUGAGAGUCGAGACCACUGGUCCUUUGUGACCGGGAAGUGGUUGAUGCCAUGCUUCCAGGAAAAUCUUCUAAGCUUCAGGUUAUAAGGAACCGUACCCCAAACCGACACAGGUGGUUGGGAUGAGUAUUCUAAGGCGCUUGAGAGAACUCGGGUGAAGGAACUAGGCAAAAUUGUACCGUAACUUCGGGAGAAGGUACGCCGCUGACGGUGAUGGGAUUUACUCCCUAAGCUAUUGGCGGUCGCAGUGAAAAGGCCCCUGCAACUGUUUAUUAAAAACACAGCACUCUGCAAACGCGUAAGCGGACGUAUAGGGUGUGACGCCUGCCCGGUGCCGGAAGGUUAAUUGAUGGGGUUAGCUUCGGCGAAGCUCUUGAUCGAAGCCCCGGUAAACGGCGGCCGUAACUAUAACGGUCCUAAGGUAGCGAAAUUCCUUGUCGGGUAAGUUCCGACCUGCACGAAUGGCGUAAUGAUGGGGGCGCUGUCUCCACCCGAGACUCAGUGAAAUCGAAAUCGCAGUGAAGAUGCUGUGUACCCGCGGCUAGACGGAAAGACCCCGUGAACCUUUACUAUAGCUUCACAGUGGACUUUGAACCUGCUUGUGUAGGAUAGCUGGGAGACUUUGAAGCGGUGACGCUAGUCAUCGUGGAGUCGUCCUUGAAAUACCAGCCUGGCAUGUUUGAGGUUCUAACCUAGGUCCAUUAUCUGGAUCGGGGACAUUGUGUGGUGGGUAGUUUGACUGGGGCGGUCUCCUCCCAAAGAGUAACGGAGGAGCACAAAGGUACCCUCAGCACGGUCGGACAUCGUGCAACGAGCGUAAAGGUAGAAGGGUGCUUGACUGCGAGACCUACAAGUCGAGCAGGUGCGAAAGCAGGUCUUAGUGAUCCGGUGGUUCUGUAUGGAAGGGCCAUCGCUCAACGGAUAAAAGGUACUCCGGGGAUAACAGGCUGAUACCGCCCAAGAGUUCAUAUCGACGGCGGUGUUUGGCACCUCGAUGUCGGCUCAUCUCAUCCUGGGGCUGAAGCAGGUCCCAAGGGUAUGGCUGUUCGCCAUUUAAAGAGGUACGCGAGCUGGGUUUAGAACGUCGUGAGACAGUUCGGUCCCUAUCUGCCGUGGGCGUUGGAGAUUUGAGAGGAGCUGCUCCUAGUACGAGAGGACCGGAGUGGACGAACCUCUGGUGUUCCGGUUGUCACGCCAGUGGCAUUGCCGGGUAGCUAUGUUCGGACGGGAUAACCGCUGAAAGCAUCUAAGCGGGAAGCCUCCCUCAAGAUGAGAUCUCCCUGGGAACUUGAUUCCCCUGAAGGGCCGUUGAAGACCACAACGUUGAUAGGCUGGGUGUGGAAGCGUUGUAAGGCGUGAAGCUAACCAGUACUAAUUGCCCGUGAGGCUUGACU